CCUACGGGAGGCAGCAGUGAGGAAUAUUGGUCAAUGGGCGAGAGCCUGAACCAGCCAAGUCGCGUGAGGGAGUACUGCCCUAUGGGUUGUAAACCUCUUUUGUCGGGGAGCAAAAGCCGGACGUGUCCGGCUGUGAGAGUACCCGAAGAAAAAGCAUCGGCUAACUCCGUUGCAGCAGCCGCGGUACUACGGAGGAUGAGAGCGUUAUCCGGAUUUAGUGGGGUUAAAGGGUGCGCAGGCGGAUUUUUAAGUCAGCGGUAAAAUCGUGGGGCUCAACCCCAUCCAGCCGUUGAAACUGGGGAUCUUGAGUGUGCGAGAGGUAUGCGGAAUGCGUGGUGUAGCGGUGAAAUGCAUAGAUAUCACGCAGAACCCCGAUUGCGAAGGCAGCAUACCGGUGCACAACUGACGCUCAGGCACGAAAGCGUGGGUAUCGAACAGGAUUAGAUACCCUAGUAGUC
rnacentral:rRNA from 1 species